rfam:Octopus bimaculoides Scaffold40805_contig_32, whole genome shotgun sequence.
UAAUUCGACUAAAAAUUCCUCAAGGCGAUAAUCCCAGGAUAGCCUCGAGGCAGACUAAUGACUGAAACGAGUAAGAGAUUAAAGACACAAUUUAACAAUAAAUCUUACAUGGACCCCGAAGGGUCGUAUGGACCGCGGCUGAAAACUACAGCUCUAAAAGAAAUGCGAAAUUACCCAAUAGGCACAGGAGUGUCUGUGUGGUAAGCAAGAGCCUUCGCGCGACGGGUCCCCCGCGAGUCCACCCUAUCAACUGUCGACGGCCCGGUAAGUGCCGACCGUGGUAGCAACGGGUAACGGGGAAUCAGGGUUCGAUUCCGGAGAGGGAGCAUGCGAAACGGCUACCACAUCCAAGGAAGGCAGCAGGCGCGCAAAUUACCCACUCCCAGCAUGGGGAGGUAGUGACGAAAAAUAACGAAGCGGGACUCUGUUGAGACCCCGCGAUCGA